GACGAACGCUGGCGGCGUGCCUAACACAUGCAAGUCGAGCGGGGUUGAAGCGAGGGGUAACUCGAGUUUCUACCUAGCGGCGGACGGGUGAGUAACGCGUGGGCAACCUGCCUCAAGGACUGGGAUAACAGCUCGAAAGGGCUGCUAAUACCGGAUAUGCCUGUGGCCUCGCAUGGGGCUAUGAGCAAAGGGGAAACCCGCCUUGAGAUGGGCCCGCGUCCCAUCAGCUAGUUGGUGAGGUGAAGGCUCACCAAGGCGACGACGGGUAGCCGGCCUGAGAGGGUGACCGGCCACACUGGGACUGAGACACGGCCCAGACUCCUACGGGGGGCAGCAGUGGGGAAUCUUGCACAAUGGGCGAAAGCCUGAUGCAGCGACGCCGCGUGAGCGAAGAAGACCUUCGGUUGUAAAGCUCUGUCUGGAGGGACGAAGGAAGUAGACGGUACCUCCGGAGGAAGGCCAACGGCGUAACUACGUGCCGAGCAGCCGCGGUAAACUGUAGUCGU
rnacentral:rRNA from 1 species